CUCACAGUGCCCAGAUAAUCUGCUCCUCUGGAUUGUCUGUUCAUUUUGAGGACAGAAUUGCCAGACAUGAAAUAGCACUCAUAUUUCUGUUCACCAGUCAUGGACAAAAGUGUGCUGCUGGUCCUGUGGUGUCUGCAGGCUUUCCUGCUCAUCACAGCCUUCACUUCUACUGAUGCAGCCGCUCUGGUGACAGAUGAUCCUCUGCGUUUUUAUCCGAAAGAAACUGCAGGAAAAAAAGUAGAGUCCAAUAUUCUGGUCAAAAGAGGCUGUCGAAAGAGAUCAGGAGCAUGUGGCCCAAUGUUCAGAACAAAUCUUAAAGAAGCGAAGAGCAUGUCAACAUGACGGAAACAGCCAAUUUCACUCGAACAACAGAUGUUGAAAUAAGCUUUUCCAGAACUGCCUUACUUUGAGGGGUGUAAAUGAUUGUACUGGAUGUUUUAGUGCUUAUGUAAUGUGCUGUAAUGUACAAAUUGUUUAUUAACAAAAUAAAAGAUUUCAGAUCAGA